CUCAUUGCAUCUUCAAACUCUUGGGUUUAAGUGAUCCUCCCACCUCAGUCUCCUUAGUAGCUGGGACUACAGACACACUCUGCCAAACUCUGCUAGGAUUUUAAUUUAUAUUUUGCAGACACAGUGUCUUACUAUGUUGCCCAGACUGGUCUUGAACUCCUGGCCCCAAACAGUCCUUCCACCUCGGCCUUCCAAAGUGCUGGGAUUACAGUGUGAGCCAACACACGUGGCCUUAACUUUUCUUUUUAAAACAGUUUUAUUGAGGUGACAGGUUUAUUUAUACUUUCCUACAUAUGUUAACAGUUUUAUUUACUAUCAUAAAAUUUAACUAUUUUAAGUAAAUAUUUCAGUUAUUUUUAGGAGGCUCAUAGACUUACACAACCAUAACUAAACAUUUAAAACAUUUCCACCAGCUCAAAAAUUUUUUUUUGUUUCUUUCUGUCAACCUCAGCCCUAAGGCAACCACUCAAUGCCCAGCCUUAAGGCAAACACUCAUGUGUUUUCAGUCUCUAUGCAUGGGCCUUUUCUAGAAACUUCAUAUCAAUUGAGUGAUACAAUAUGUAAUCUUUUAUGUCUGGCUUAUUUCAUUAGCAUAUCUUUGAAGUUCUUCCACAUUGUAACAUGUAUCACUACUAACUUGUAUCACUGUGUCCUGAAUUGGUGGGUUCUUGUCUCCCUGACUUCAAGAAUGAAGCCAGGGACCCUGGUGGUGAGUGUGAGUGUUACAAUUCUUAAAGAUGGUGUGUCCGGAGUUUGUUCCUUCAGAUGUUCAGAUGUGUCCGGAGUUUCUUCCUUCUGGUGGGUUCGUGGUCUCCCUGGCUUUAGGAGUGAAGCUGCAGACCUUCGCGGUGAGUGUUACAGCUCUUAAAGGUGGCGCAUCGGGAGUUGCUCCUUCCUUCUGGUGGGUUCGUGGUUUCUCUGGCUUCAGGAGUGAAGCUGCAGACCUUCUCGGUGCUACAGCUCAUAAAGGCAGCCCAGACCCAAAGUGUAAACAGCAGAAAGAUUUAUUGCAAAGAGCGAAAAGAACAAAGCUUCCACAGCAUGGUGGCCUGCUUUUAUUCCGUUAUCUGGCCCCACCCACAUCCUGCUUAUUGGUCCAUUUUACAGAGAGCUGAUUGGUCUAUUUUACAGAGAGCUGAUUGGUCCGUUUUGGCAGGGUGCUGCUGGGUGCCGUUACAAACCUUUAGCUAGACACCGAGUGCUGAUUGGUGCUUACAGUCCUUUAGCCAGACAGAAAGGUUCUCCAAGUCCCCACUCCACCCAGAAGCCCAGCCGGUUUCACGUCUCACCGGGGCUCUGCGGCACCCAGCCCCGGCGCUCAGGCAGCCCAGAGGGAGCUAGUCCCUGAUCAAGUCCAGCAGGCGCCGGCUGGCCGAGCCGAGUGCGGGUCCCACUGAGCCUGCGCCAACCCAGAACCCGCGCCUGCCCGCGAACGCGGCGCGCAGUUCGGGCUCCCGCCAGCACCUCUCCCUUCACACCUUCCGGUGAGCAGAGGGAGCUGGCUCCGGCAUCGGCCAGCCCCAGAGAGGGGCCCUCAUAGCGCAGCGGCAGGCUGAAGGGCUCCUGGCGUGUGGCCAGAGCGGAGGCCCAGGAGGCGCGGAAAGCGAGCCAGGGCUGCUAGCACGUUUUCACCUCUCAUCACUACUAUCAUGAUCACUACUAUCAUAUUUUGUUGCUUGCUGUUUUGAACGAAACAUCUAAACUUAGCUGGCAGCUACCAUCUCCAGCAGCCACCAGACACCUGGACAAAGGAGCACCAGCAAGAGAUUCACCUUCGUGGAUCCACAGGUGGUCUCCCUCUCAGAGGCUGGAUUGUGGGCAUGGCUUCAAUGAUAUAAUGUGAAAGUAUUAAAGUUUUA
rnacentral:lncRNA from 1 species